UCUGGUGCCAGCAGCCGCGGUAAUUCCAGCUCCAAUAGCGUAUAUUAAACUUGUUGCAGUUAAAAAGCUCGUAGUUGUAUUUUUGCGUUAGCGGUUUGACCAUUUGGUUGGUUAUUUCGUUUUCGCUUUUGGGAAUUUCCCUUUUUACUUUGAGAAAAUUAGAGUGUUUCAAGCAGACUUUUGUCUUGAAUACUUCAGCAUGGAAUAAUAGAGUAGGACUUUGGUUCUAUUUUGUUGGUUAUUGAACCUUAGUAAUGGUUAAUAGGAACGGUUGGGGGCAUUCGUAUUUAACUGUCAGAGGUGAAAUUCUUAGAUUUGUUAAAGACGAACUACUGCGAAAGCAUUUGCCAAGGACGUUUCCAUUAAUCAAGAACGAAAGUUAGGGGAUCGAAGACGAUCAGAUACCGUCGUAGUCCUAACCAUAAACUAUGCCGACUAGUGAUUGGAGGUCGUCGUUUUUUUGACCCCUUCAGGAACUUUGAGAGAAAUCAAAAGUCUUUGGA
rnacentral:rRNA from 1 species